rnacentral:rRNA from 1 species
GUGGGGAAUAUUGGACAAUGGGGGCAACCCUGAUCCAGCAAUGCCGCGUGUGUGAAGAAGGUCUUCGGAUCGUAAAGCACUUUCGACGGGGACGAUGAUGACGGUACCCGUAGAAGAAGCCCCGGCUAACUUCGUGCCAGCAGCCGCGGUAAUACGAAGGGGGCUAGCGUUGCUCGGCAUUACUGGGCGUAAAGGGCGCGUAGGCGGCUCUGUUAGUCAGGAGUGAAAUUCCUGGGCUUAACCUGGGGACUGCGCUUGAUACUGCGGGGCUUGAGGCCGAGAGAGGGUGGUGGAAUUCCCAGUGUAGAGGUGAAAUUCGUAGAUAUUGGGAAGAACACCGGUGGUGAAGGCGACCACCUGGCUCGGUACUGACGCUGAGGCGCGACAGCGUGGGGAGCAAACAGGAUUAGAUACCCCUGUAGUCC